AGUACAGACGAGUUUGAUCAUGGCUCAGAACGAACGCUGGCGGCAGGCCUAACACAUGCAAGUCGAGCGCCCCAGCGAUGGGGAGCGGCGGACGGGUGAGUAACGCGUGGGAACGUGCCUCUUGCUACGGAAUAGCCUCGGGAAACUGGGAGUAAUACCGUAUGUGCCCUACGGGGGAAAGAUUUAUCGGCAAGAGAUCGGCCCGCGUUGGAUUAGGUAGUUGGUGGGGUAAUGGCCUACCAAGCCGACGAUCCAUAGCUGGUUUGAGAGGAUGAUCAGCCACACUGGGACUGAGACACGGCCCAGACUCCUACGGGAGGCAGCAGUGGGGAAUCUUAGACAAUGGGCGCAAGCCUGAUCUAGCCAUGCCGCGUGAGCGAUGAAGGCCUUAGGGUUGUAAAGCUCUUUCAGUGGGGAAGAUAAUGACUGUACCCACAGAAGAAGCCCCGGCUAACUCCGUG
rnacentral:rRNA from 1 species